UACCCUCCAGGUACAUGGGAAAGGUCUGC
rnacentral:piRNA from 1 species